CGCCAACCUAUGUGUUUUUUAGCAACCCUCCCAUUGGAGACCCUCACCAAGAAAGCAGAUUUCUUCCAUCUCUAAGAGUUUCUUUCAAAUCAUACUCUUCUUCAUGGAAUGGAAUGGGAAAAUGAAGAUACUAGGAGUGGAUGAUCUAACGCUUGGAAUUUGGAAACAUAAACCCCCAGAUUUUGAGACUAUAACCCUCUUAGACACUUGCAAAGUUGAGGCCACGGAUUUGAUCCCAAUUUUCCCACCAAACUAUCUGAAAGCUCUCCAAGCACAUGGCUUGCUUUCACAUUCAACGCCUGAAGGAGAAGCAUCUUUAGCAUCUCUCCACCAGUAAGGCAAGGGUCAAGGGCUUGAAAGGAACUCUCCACCACUAUGGCGAAGCCCACCUUCAGUUACCUUCCACUUCUACGUAAGAUCCUGCAAGGACUGGUUUAGAAGAUCCAUCCAACUCGAAGGGGCCUGGUGCCGCCUACACACAGACCACGCUGCUUGAAUGGACAAAACCCCCAAUCACCACUAUUUGAAACUGCAUGAUCAGCAAUAUAUAUAUGUAUCCUAGACAAUUAACCUUAAUCAUCCAGAGACUUUGAUGUUCAUUGAUAAUUGCAAUGUAAUAUUGAGAGCUAUUAUGGAAAGUGAGGAGAUGUAGCUGAUUGUAUUUCAACUUCUGAAGUUGCUGAAAAGGAGAAACAAUGCUGAUCAACAACAAGAUGCACCUCAGGAGAAUCACUUGGCCACUUUAGACACUUUUGAUGGCUGUGGCGGCUUGUCUGAGGGAUUACAUCGCGCGGGUUGGUUGGGGCCUUGGUGUAGCAGGCCUGGAGAUGAUUGAGGCUUUCCUUUUGCAGCUGCUGUGCCAGAAGUGGUUGUGUUUCGGUAUGGCAUGUCCUGGCUAGAUGUUGGCCCUCUCUGCAGGAGCUGAAGCUCAGAUUGGCCUUCUGGUCUGCAUCAUGGUUGGACUGUCAGCUGGAGUUGCUGGGUAGCUGCUGUGUUUGAAGUAGCCUUCACGCAGCCAUUGUGGGGGCUUUUUUGCUGGCGUAGGGGAGCCGCCUGGUUUUUGGCUGAUGCUGCUGUUGUUGAUGUCUUAAAUCCGUAAACAGGCCCUAUCGAUGCCAAUGACAAACCACUCAAUGCCAUCGAGCAGAUGUCGAUGCCAUUGACAAAUGUUCAAUGUCAUCGGAAAAAUCCGAAAUUUUCAUGUUUUAUCCUUAGAACAUUUUGUUAUUUUUAGAGAUGUCAUCGAAGGUAAUUUGAUGCCAUCGACAGAUAGUUGAUGCAAUUAA